GACGAACGCUGGCGGCGUGCUUAACACAUGCAAGUCGAACGGAAAGGCCCUGCUUUUGUGGGGUGCUCGAGUGGCGAACGGGUGAGUAACACGUGUGUAACCUGCCCUUGACAUUGGGAUAACUUUUGGAAAAUGGGGCUAAUACCGGAUAGGAGCUCCUGCUGCACGGUGGGGGUUGGAAAGUUUCGGCGGUUGGGGAUGGACUCGCGGCUUAUCAGCUUGUUGGUGGGGUAGUGGCUUACCAAGGCUUUGACGGGUAGCCGGCCUGAGAGGGUGACCGGCCACAUUGGGACUGAGAUACGGCCCAGACGCCUACGGGAGGCAGCAGUGGGAAAUAUUGCACAAUGGGCGGAAGCCUGAUGCAGCAACGCCGCGUGCGGGAUGACGGCCUUCGGGUUGUAAACCGCUUUCGCCUGUGACGAAGCGUGAGUGACGGUAAUGGGUAAAGAAGCACCGGCUAACUACGUG
rnacentral:rRNA from 1 species